GGCGCUGUGGCUUAGUUGGUCAAAGUGCCUGUCUAGUCAACAGAUUUUGGGUUCAAAUCCCAGCAGUGCCU
rnacentral:tRNA from 1 species